UUGAUUUAUUUUUGAACGAGUGGCGGACGGGUGAGUAACACGUGGGUAACCUGCCCUUAAGUGGGGGAUAACAUUUGGAAACAGAUGCUAAUACCGCAUAAAUCCAAGAACCGCAUGGUUCUUGGCUGAAAGAUGGCGUAAGCUAUCGCUUUUGGAUGGACCCGCGGCGUAUUAGCUAGUUGGUGAGGUAACGGCUCACCAAGGCAAUGAUACGUAGCCGAACUGAGAGGUUGAUCGGCCACAUUGGGACUGAGACACGGCCCAAACUCCUACGGGAGGCAGCAGUAGGGAAUCUUCCACAAUGGACGCAAGUCUGAUGGAGCAACGCCGCGUGAGUGAAGAAGGCUUUCGGGUCGUAAAACUCUGUUGUUGGAGAAGAAUGGUCGGCAGAGUAACUGUUGUCGGCGUGACGGUAUCCAACCAGAAAGCCACGGCUAACUACGUGCCAGCAGCCGCGGUAAUACGUAGGUGGCAAGCGUUAUCCGGAUUUAUUGGGCGUAAAGCGAGCGCAGGCGGUUUUUUAAGUCUGAUGUGAAAGCCCUCGCGUUAACCGAGGAAGUGCAUCGGAAACUGGGAAACUUGAGUGCAGAAGAGGACAGUGGAACUCCAUGUGUAGCGGUGAAAUGCGUAGAUUUG
rnacentral:rRNA from 2 species